rnacentral:rRNA from 1 species
UACAGAGGUCUCAAGCGUUGUUCGGAUUCAUUGGGCGUAAAGGGUGCGUAGGCGGCGGGGUAAGUCGGGGGUGAAAUCUCGGGGCUUAACUCCGAAACUGCAUUCGAUACUGCCGUGCUUGAGGACUGGAGAGGAGACUGGAAUUUACGGUGUAGCGGUGAAAUGCGUAGAUAUCGUAAGGAAGACCAGUGGCGAAGGCGGCGUUCUGGACUGCAACUGACACUGAGGGAACGAAAGCCAGGGGAGCAAACGGG